CAAGUCGAGCGGACAGAUGGGAGCUUGCUCCCUGAUGUUAGCGGCGGACGGGUGAGUAACACGUGGGUAACCUGCCUGUAAGACUGGGAUAACUCCGGGAAACCGGGGCUAAUACCGGAUGGUUGUUUGAACCGCAUGGUUCAAACAUAAAAGGUGGCUUCGGCUACCACUUACAGAUGGACCCGCGGCGCAUUAGCUAGUUGGUGAGGUAACGGCUCACCAAGGCAACGAUGCGUAGCCGACCUGAGAGGGUGAUCGGCCACACUGGGACUGAGACACGGCCCAGACUCCUACGGGAGGCAGCAGUAGGGAAUCUUCCGCAAUGGACGAAAGUCUGACGGAGCAACGCCGCGUGAGUGAUGAAGGUUUUCGGAUCGUAAAGCUCUGUUGUUAGGGAAGAACAAGUACCGUUCGAAUAGGGCGGUACCUUGACGGUACCUAACCAGAAAGCCACGGCUAACUACGUGCCAGCAGCCGCGGUAAUACGUAGGUGGCAAGCGUUGUCCGGAAUUAUUGGGCGUAAAGGGCUCGCAGGCGGUUUCUUAAGUCUGAUGUGAAAGCCCCCGGCUCAACCGGGGAGGGUCAUUGGAAACUGGGGAACUUGAGUGCAGAAGAGGAGAGUGGAAUUCCACGUGUAG
rnacentral:rRNA from 1 species